UACGGAGGAUCCGAGCGUUAUCCGGAUUUAUUGGGUUUAAAGGGAGCGUAGGCGGGCGCUUAAGUCAGCUGUGAAAGUUUGGGGCUCAACCUUAAAAUUGCAGUUGAUACUGGGUGCCUUGAGUGCAGUAUAGGCAGGCGGAAUUCGUGGUGUAGCGGUGAAAUGCUUAGAUAUCACGAAGAACUCCUAUUGCGAAGGCAGCUUGCUGGAGUGUAACUGACGCUGAUGCUCGAAAGUGUGGGUAUCAAACAGG
rnacentral:rRNA from 1 species